rnacentral:rRNA from 1 species
GACGAACGCUGGCGGCGUGCCUAACACAUGCAAGUCGAACGCAGUGGGGACGGGUGAGUAACAUGUGGGUAACCUCCCAUCAGAGGGGAUAACACUUGGAAACAGGUGCUAAACCGAUAGUGAUGGAUGGACCCGCGGUGCAGUACCUAGUUGGUGAGGUAACGGCGCACCAAGGCCACGAUGCAUAGCCGACCUGAGAGGGUGAUCGGCCACACUGGGACUGAGACACGGCCCAGACUCCUACGGGAGGCAGCAGUAGGGAAUCUUCGGCAAUGGACGAAAGUCUGACAGAGCAACGCCGCGUGAGUGAAGAAGGUUUUCGGAUCGUAAAGCACUGUUGUUAGAGAAGCGGUAUCUAAAGAAAAAGCCACGGCUAACUACGUGCCAGCAGCCGCGGUAAUAC